GACACCCUUUCAAAAGAAUAAUAUCAACCAUAAUGCCUCUUUCGUGUUCAUGUUCAUCUUAUCUUUCCUUCUUCUUAUUCUUCGUCAUCGUCUAUCACUUUCCCAAUCAUUCUUGUAUUGCUCGCAAGUCACUGCUCAUGACACAUUAUUCACGUCUUCCAGCUAAUAAAAAGGCUGCAGAAGAGCUUUAUUUCGGCACUGAUUCGUCCCGUGUAGAAAACGGUCCUAGAGGAAUUACGAACUAUCAAAAGGUCAAAAAAAUAGAAGUUUUUCACAAGGAAAAGAAUGACAAUAAAGGCACAAUUUCAGGUGUCCUUUCACAUUACUCCCUUCAUUUCCAUCGUAUUUAAUGGAGUGUCUUUUUGUUUUGGCAGGUACUGAAAUGAUUUCUCCAUCAUCUUUGCCCCACGCACGUUUGCUCAAGGCACUAAAAACUAAGGGUGCAAGAUGGUCAGCAGCGCAGGACAUAGCAGUGGCUUCCCAGACUGGAAAUAAGAAUUUAUAUCGAGAUAUUAUAGAGAUGGAUUACGAUCCACCACACCGUAAAUCACCCAUUCAUAACUAAAAUUAAUCAAAUGUCUCGGCACAGUUAUAUGUUUCCAAACAGAACUUUAUCUUUUCAGUGAUAGUCUACCUCAAUAAACUCGUACCUUGAGAUAUUUUUCAUUCAACUACUUAUGUACUUGGCUCGAUAGAAAUCAUACAUAAAGAAUUGCAUUUUAAAUUGUUCUACAGGUCCGGUUCCUCUUAUUCCAUGAUAAUGCUAACUUGAUUGCGGCGGAUAUAAUGCAGAAUCGUACACAUACAACAUCGCAGGUAAUACCAUAUAAGAGUGGAUCCUAGUCAUAUUACAUUUUGACAGAGGUAAUCCAUUGAGUUUACAACAACAGAUAUGCUAUUAAGGUUUUGUCGUUUUACGGCAGGUGACCUAGUCAAAGUAAAAACAUCAAAAAUUUGUUAUAAAUAUAUUAUAUUAUAGA